CCCAAAGCUUCUGUAAUUCUACCAACUCGGCUGCCAAGGGGAAGUCUAUGGAUAGAUUCCAUGUGCACCAGGGGAAACUGAGACAGGAGGCAAGGUUUCCCUGACUGCGGCCAAUAUCAAAUGGAAGGUUUAUGUGACCUGUGUUAAAAUGCAUUUCUUCUUUAUUAAAUCAGUAAUAACCA